rnacentral:rRNA from 1 species
AGUAGUUUGACUCGUGGCUCAGGACACGCUGGCGGCGUGCUUAACACAUGCAAGUCGAACGAGACGAUUUUAAGCUUGCUUAGAUGAGUCGAGUGGCAAACGGGUGAGUAACGCGUAGACAACCUGCCGCAAAGAUGGGGACAACAUCCCGAAAGGGGUGCUAAUACCGAAUGUUAUCAUUCUUCCGCAUGGAGGGAUGAUUAAAGAUGGCCUCUACUUGUAAGCUAUCGCUUUGCGAUGGGUCUGCGUCUGAUUAGCUUGUUGGUGGGGUAACGGCCUACCAAGGCGACGAUCAGUAGCCGGUCUGAGAGGAUGAACGGCCACAUUGGAACUGAGACACGGUCCAGACUCC